CCCUGCUCCAGCUGGGAUCCCUGGCUGGGACUGUCCCUGUCCCCUCCCCUGCUCCCGCCAGGCUCCCUCAGGCUAAAAGCACAAUUCCUUCGGGGCUCUGGCGAGGAGCAGGAACACCCCGGGAUGUGCAGGGACAUCCGGCCAGUCCCGUGCUGCUGCGAGGGCUGGGGUGACCCUGGGCUGGCCCGGGGGACGUUGGGGACCCCCCAGGGCUGUGUGUGGGGGGAUCCCUGACGGGAUUUCCCGCAGCGGGAGCGGGGAGGUCCUGGGGAGCCGCUGGGAUUUCCAGAUGAACACCUGCGCCUCCCACGCCUCCGGCGCCUUCCUGCUGGAGACAGCCAAGUUCUGCCCCGCCGACCUGCAGCUGGAGCAGCCCCUGGCUGCAGCCACAGCAGCUCCAGGAUCCGGCCCCACGGAGCCUCCGAGCGCUGGCUGCGGCACGGCCCCGCUGCCGGCACUGAGCGUCCCCGAGGAGGCAGGUGCUGCAGGACCUGACGAUGACGACACUGCCGAGGCCCUGGGGGAUGACAUGGAAGUGACUCUGGUCCCUAACGAACACAUUGAGGCUCAGAGGGUCUGUGGGGGCAGGGCCUUGUGGGGGGCUGCCUGUGCUCCUUCCUUGGAUCCCUGGAGCUCCUUCCCUGGAGCCCCAGAGCCUCGUGUUCCUUUCCCAGAUCCCUGGAGCCUCGUGUUCCUUCCCAGAGAGAGCCUUGUUGUCCCUCACCCCUUCCCAGGAACCCCUCACUCCCUCCUUGGAGUCCUGGAGCCCCUAAACUCAUGUUCCUUCCCUG
rnacentral:lncRNA from 13 species